rnacentral:rRNA from 1 species
GGUGGUGCAUGGUUGUCGUCAGCUCGUGUCGUGAGAUGUUGGGUUAAGUCCCGCAACGAGCGCAACCCUUAUUAUCAGUUGCCAGCAUUCAGUUGGGCACUCUGGUGAGACUGCCGGUGACAAACCGGAGGAAGGUGGGGAUGACGUCAAAUCAUCAUGCCCCUUAUGACCUGGGCUACACACGUGCUACAAUGGACGGUACAACGAGUUGCGAAGUCGUGAGGCUAAGCUAAUCUCUUAAAGCCGUUCUCAGUUCGGAUUGUAGGCUGCAACUCGCCUACAUGAAGUUGGAAUCGCUAGUAAUCGCGGAUCAGCAUGCCGCGGUGAAUACGUUCCCGGGUCUUGUACACAC